CUCUAUGUAGCCAUUGUGGUGUUUUAGGCCACUUUGUUGAUAGUUGUUACAAACUACAUGGCUUCCCACCUAGUUUUAAAUUCAAAAAUAAACCAUAUGCAGCAACUGUCACUACUGCCUCAGAUUCAACUCAUGCUUCUUAUGAUUCUCUGUUUCAAUCUAAUGUUUCUUCCCCUAUGGUAACAUCCACUAUGUCCUUCACCACUGAGCAGUACCAGCAGCUGAUUUCUCUGCUGAAUUCAAACUUUGUGAAGCCCACAGGUUCUACUACUCAGUCUGCCAAUCUAGCAUUUUCUCACAAUAUCUCAGGACCUUACCAGCAAGAGAAUGAUUGGAGUGGGUGAAGAGCGAGAUGACUUAUAUUUCUACAAACAAGCAGCCAUGAAUAACUCUAUUUCUAGUACUACAAUUAAACCAUGUCUUUUUUAUUUAUGGCAUUUCAGACUUGGGCACAUUUUUGCUUCCACAAUCAGUUUGUUACAAAAAUUAGACUCCAAUAUUACUUACUCAAACUCCUUUCAUUGUAA